rnacentral:rRNA from 1 species
GACGAACGCUGGCGGCGUGCUUAACACAUGCAAGUCGAACGGUGAAGCGCCUUCCUUUUUGGUGGGUGUGGAUGAGUGGCGAACGGGUGAGUAACACGUGAGUAACCUGCCCCCUUCUUCUGGAUAACCGCAUGAAAGUGUGGCUAAUACGGGAUAUUCUGGGUCUGUCGCAUGAUGGGUCUGGGAAAGAUAUUGUUUCGGUGGGGGAUGGGCUCGCGGCCUAUCAGCUUGUUGGGGGGGUGAUGGCCUACCAAGGCGGUGGCGGGUAGCCGGCCUGAGAGGGUGGACGGUCACACUGGGACUGAGACACGGCCCAGACUCCUACGGGAGGCAGCAGUGGGGAGUAUUGCACAAUGGGCGCAAGCCUGAUGCAGCGACGCCGCGUGAGGGAUGGAGGCCGUCGGGUUGUGAACCUCUUUCGCCAGUGAAGCAGGCCUGCCUCGUUUGUGGGUGGGUUGACGGUAGCUGGAUAAGAAGCGCCGGCUAACUACGU